rnacentral:lncRNA from 1 species
AAAGGAUCCUGCCUGGUCUAGUAUGUAGGGAGACAUCUAGUGGUGAGCCUUCGCUGCACAUAACCAGUUUAGUGUGUUCCCCCCCCCGCGCUCCGUGCAGCUUCCAGGAAACGCUGUGGGUGAGGUGUUUCUUUUAAUCUAUAUCCUUCUUACCGGUUUUUCCAUAAGGGUGAGCAUUGUGAUGAGCGAGUAAUUGCAUUAAGCUUUUGUGGAAUCUCUUAGGAAUGUCAUUUGAGCUGCACUCCACCAAAGAACCUCAACUCUGAGAGCUACCUCUAGUGGCCAAAAGAGAAAGUGCAAGUGCAAUCCUUCCUCCUUGCUGCUCUGUAGGUGACAGAGUAACAUCAGGGACGAAUGUGUGACCCUCAGCAGAGCAGAAAAACUCAGACUGCUCCAGAUUACUCUCCAGGUGGAUGAAGUGCUCUUUCUGAUUCUGCAGCCUUAUCAGAUAACUCCAUUGUACCUACACAUACUACUAGAAGAGAAAGAUCUCCUCAGAAGGGGUAUGG